AGGUAUGUAACGCUAGCGGCAGGCCUAACACAUGCAAGUCGAGGGGUAACGAUGUCUUCGGACAGUCGACGACCGGCGCACGGGUGAGUAUCGCGUUUGUAACCUACCUUUAACUGGAGAAUAGCCCGAAGAAAUUCGGAUUAAUACUCCAUAAUACUAUGAUCUGGCAUCUUUUUAUAGUUAAAGCUCCGGCGGUUAAAGAUGGACAUGCGUAACAUUAGUUUGUUGGUGAGGUAACGGCUCACCAAGACUACGAUGUUUAGGGGGUCUGAGAGGAUGGUCCCCCACACUGGUACUGAGACACGGACCAGACUCCUACGGGAGGCAGCAGUGAGGAAUAUUGGUCAAUGGGCGAAAGCCUGAACCAGCCAUGCCGCGUGAAGGAUGACAGCGCUAUGCGUUGUAAACUUCUUUUGUACAGGAAGAAACACUUUCUACGUGUAGAAGCUUGACGGUACUGUACGAAUAAGCAUCGGCUAACUCCGUGCCAGCAGCCGCGGUAAUACGGAGGAUGCAAGCGUUAUCCGGAUUUAUUGGGUUUAAAGGGUACGUAGGCGGAAAAUUAAGUCAGUAGUGAAAUCCCGCAGCUUAACUGUGGGACUGUUAUUGAUACUGGUUUUCUUGAAUUUAGUUGAGGUAGGCGGAAUGUGUAAUGUAGCGGUGAAAUGCUUAGAUAUUACACAGAACACCGAUUGCGAAGGCAGCUUACUAAGCUAUGAUUGACGCUGAGGUACGAAAGCGUGGGGAGCGAACAGGAUUAGAUACCCUGGUAGUCCACGCCGUAAACGAUGAUCACUCGUUGUUGGCAAUAAAC
rnacentral:rRNA from 1 species